GAUGAACGCUAGCGGCAGGCUUAACACAUGCAAGUCGAGGGGUAUGCCGAUUUAUCGGCAGAGACCGGCGCACGGGUGCGUAACGCGUAUGCAAUCUGCCUUCCACAGAGGGAUAGCCCAGAGAAAUUUGGAUUAAUACCUCAUAGCAUCAUGUUCCGGCAUCGGGAUAUGAUUAAAGUCACAACGGUGGAAGAUGAGCAUGCGUCCCAUUAGCUAGUUGGUAAGGUAACGGCUUACCAAGGCUACGAUGGGUAGGGGUCCUGAGAGGGAGAUCCCCCACACUGGUACUGAGACACGGACCAGACUCCUACGGGAGGCAGCAGUGAGGAAUAUUGGUCAAUGGACGCAAGUCUGAACCAGCCAUGCCGCGUGCAGGAUGACGGUCCUAUGGAUUGUAAACUGCUUUUGUACGGGAAGAAACACUCCUACGUGUAGGAGCUUGACGGUACCGUAAGAAUAAGGAUCGGCUAACUCCGUG
rnacentral:rRNA from 1 species